CCCUUAGUAACGGCGAGCGAACAGGGAAAAGCCCAGCGCCGAAUUCUCGCUCCUUGCGGGCGUUUGAAAAAUGUGGCGUUUGGGAGGUGACGUGCCGAGGUCAGUCUCUGCAGCAAGUCCCCCUGACCGGGGCUGUUACCCAGAGUGGGUGCGAGGCCCAUAGCUGCGGAGUCUGCUUCGGAUGUGACCUCUUGGGAGUCGGGUUGCUUGGGAGUGCAACCCCAAUCUGGUGGUAAACUCCACCUAAGGCUAAAUACGUCCGUGAGACCGAUAGCAAACAAGUACCGUGAGGGAAAGUUGCAAAGAACUUUGAAGAGAGAGUUCAAGAGUACGUGAAACUGCUCAGAGGCAAACAUGUGGGCCCUCGAAAUCCUCCGGCGGGGGGAUUCAGUCGGGAAGGGCUGAGGCGGUGUGCGAUUUCAAUGAACGUACCCUUCUCGGGGACGGGUCGCUGCCGCGGUCUCGGUUCUGCCCGACGCAUUUCCUCCCGCGCAAGGACGCCGCAUCCGGUUGGGUAGCUGCGCGAGUCGGCCAUGAGGGCGAGCGCUGGAAGUUGGCCGGCGGCUGUGCUUCGGUACCGCUGCCGGUUGUUAGCCGGUUCGUCUGUGGCUCGACACCCGACUGAGGUCGAAUACGUUCCCUYUUYUGGGAACUAGCCGUCCCCUUUCCACUCGUUGGAGAGCAGCAGCCUCGGAAGGUGCUUCUCAGAGUCUUUGCCUCCCCACUCUUUGUAGUGAGCGGCGCUYUGAGUAUCCUGGUGGCUGAGUGCUGUCUGCGGUAGGGGUUUAAUGGCUGGCGGCGAGCGAGUCGGUCACCCACAUGGCCCGUCUUGAAACRCGGACCAAGGAGUCUAACAUGUGCGCGAGUCACGGGGUCUUGUUUAGGCCCAAAGGCGCAAUGAAAGUGAAGGUUCGGCCUCGCGCCGACCGUGCUGGGAUCCCUCGUCCUAUUUGCGGCGGGGGAGCACCAGCGAUCCGUCCUGUCCGAUUUAUCGGUUGGCUGGAAUCAGAGCGCGCACGUUGGGACCCGAAAGAUGGUGAACUAUGCCUGGGCAGGACGAAGCCA
rnacentral:rRNA from 1 species